rnacentral:misc_RNA from 1 species
GCGUUGAUUUGUUUCUAAAAUGUUGGAUGUUUUAGUUCUAUUCAGUCUGUUUUUGUACGAGUAGAAAACGAACAGAGAUAUUGCUGCUACAAGCAGGAAAUUAAGGAAUACUGAGCUACCCAAGAUACCGCUCCCACCAGAAUCAAAGUUGUUCUAUCUUUCUUCUCUACGUUUGAAUUCCCAACAGAAGGUUCAUCAGAAGGAGCAUCAGAUUUACUUACCUUGAUCAGAGCCUUGCCAUAGGUGUUAUAAUCCAG